ensembl:lincRNA 4933428C19Rik RIKEN cDNA 4933428C19 gene
ACUCUUCUGAAUUCUGACUCAGAAAGGCUGAGUGAAGUUAGAAUUUAAAAUCAAAAGGUAGAGAGAUGGAGCAAUUACAGUCUGUGAACAAACUCUUCAAUGGAGGGUGAAGAGCGGGAGAAUGUGCAGUGACAUUGUGAGCUUCAAAUCAGCUCUCCAGGGCCCCAGCACAGAAUGUCAGGGAGGGGACUCUGAACAGGUCUAUACCACCUUCGCUGAAACUACAGAUCCUUAUGAAGUCUAGCAAAGGAGACGACAGAAGAGUGACCACAGGGAGUUCUCAAUUCCUCACAUGUUUCAGCUUCUAUAAAAUGUCAUAUAUGGGGAUGAAGAGAUGGCUCAGCUGUUGAGAGUACAAACUGCUCUUGCAGGGGACCUGGGAUGAGUUCCUGGCUCACAAUCUUUACCCUCUGCUACAUCAGUUCCAGAGGAUCCAACACCUUGUCAGGUAUCUGAGGUUUUGCAAGGGCUGACCACUCUGCACUGGACAGCCAAUAAACCUCUUUCUAGCAAAUGGAAACCAUCACAGAAAACCACAACUGGACCCAAUGCAGAGAUGCACAGAUAGUGGAGAGCCCAACCCCAGCUCAGCACAGUGACCAACCAAGCCAAAUAUCUUCUUGAACUGGUACAUGAUGAAUGAAGAAUGUACGCUGAGAGCUCGUUGGAAGGAGAAAUGAAGAGAGAGGCCAGUUUUAGGCCAGCGUUUUCUGGAGCUGAGGAGGUCGAGUGCUGUUCGUCCUUUGGAUACCAAUUUAUCAUCAGCUGCAUGGCUCGAAUGUGUUUGUUCCCAUUACAUAAACUAUCUCUUUACUGUG